rnacentral:rRNA from 1 species
AUUGAACGCUGGCGGCAGGCCUAACACAUGCACGUCGAGCGGAGCGGCGGACGGGUGAGUAAUGCCUAGGAAUCUGACUGGUCGUGGGGGAUAACGUCCGGAAACGGGCGCGAAUACCGCAUACUAUCAGAUGAGCCUAGGUGGGAUUAGCUAGUUGGUGGGGGAAAGGCCUACAAAGGCGACGAUACGUAACUGGUCUGAGAGGAUGAUCAGUCACACUGGAAAUGAGACACGGUCCAGACUCCUACGGGAGGCAGCAGGGGGGAAGAUUGGACAAUGGGCGAAAGCCUGAUCCAGCCAUGCCGCGUGUGUGAAGAAGGUCUUCGGAUUGUAAAGCACUUUAAGUUGGGAGGCGUUACCAACAGAAUAAGCACCGGCUAACUUCGUGCCAGCAGCCGCGGUAAUAC